GCUUGCGGCCAUACCACCCUGAGCACGCCUGAUCUCAUCUGAUCUUGGAAGGUAAGCAGGGUCAGGCCUGGUUAGUACUUGGAUGGGAGACGGUCUGGGAGUACCAGAUGCUUUAGGCU
rnacentral:rRNA from 1 species